AGGCUUAACACAUGCAAGUCGAGCGCCCCUCCUUCAAGCAAGCUUGAAGGAUUUACUCCUUGGAAAAGAAGAUCAAGAGCGCUUCUAAGAAGCUUUCUUGAUGGAGGGGAGCGGCAGACGGGUGAGUAACGCGUGGGAAUCUACCCUUUUCUACGGAAUAACGCAGGGAAACUUGUGCUAAUACCGUAUGUGUCCUUCGGGAGAAAGAUUUAUCGGGAAAGGAUGAGCCCGCGUUGGAUUAGCUAGUUGGUGGGGUAAAGGCCUACCAAGGCGACGAUCCAUAGCUGGUCUGAGAGGAUGAUCAGCCACAUUGGGACUGAGACACGGCCCAA
rnacentral:rRNA from 1 species